GCAGGUUGCCAACCAUACAGUGAGAACUGCAUUUGUGCAUGCAACAAUAUCAAUUACUACAUUUGGGUAUGUAUCUUCUUUUAAUAUGGAGUGAAACUGCCAACCUAAGCUUCAUUCUAGAAUGUGUUUGUUGUGACUUGUAAGGAAUUAAGUAGUUCUGUGUCUUACUAGUUUGGUGCUUGUUCACUCCCUAUUUUGGGAGGAAAAUUUUCAGGCAAAGGCUGAAAGUUAGGGAUUGUGAUGUUGUUUUUGAACAACGAUGACUUGUGUCAUCUUUAACUGAUUUCCAAGUAUUUAUUACUUAUUUGUUAAUUGGUAUGCUUGGCCUGUGGAAGGUGACAUUAAUAUGCAAAUAGGCUAAAAGUCUUGGAGUGUAGGUUUAUUAAGUAUAUAAAAAAAAAGUGUCUGAAUGCGAAUUGUGUUUAAGAAUAUAAGAAAAUGCUUUCAACUUUUGGUUACAUUAAAAUAAUAAUAGAGGAAAAGGAAUCACAUAAAAUUUAUGUCUAUUUUUUGUUAAUGCCAAUUCUUUUUCUUCACUUCAGGAUUUCAACCAAACUUAGUGAUAUGGUGAGCAAUAGCAGUACACGUAGUGCCCUUGAAGCUUUUGAUAAGAUGGAGGAAAAGGGUUAAUUAUAGAUCCAAGGUGAUUAAUAACUAAACAUAUAUAUGGUAAUAUGGUGAGCAAUAUUACUAUUGGCAAUCUCGAAGGAAAGGUAGUUUUGAC
rnacentral:lncRNA from 1 species